ensembl:lncRNA
GUUGAAGUCCGUUAGUUAGACAGAUAAACAAAAACCGACCACUCGCUGGCCAGACAACCCCGUGGUAACGACCUGUCCAUCACAAGGUGGAACCGCCCCACUUUGCGGUCUAUUUGACUCAACGGACCACGAUUUGCUUAAAGGUACAUGAUGAGGCAUUGAAAACUGCGGAAAUAAAGGAAAAAGACAGAGGACCCGCUACGUCAUUCGCUGCCACCGCGACAUGUUCGCACCAUAAUGGGACGUCGUUAGUUGGAGGUACAUCCAGAAGAGGAGCAGUAGCGCUUGAAGCAACCCCCGAUCGGAGAGGUCAACAGCGGAAGUGGGGGAGGAGGCGGUGAG